rnacentral:rRNA from 1 species
AACGAACGCUGGCGGCAUGCCUAACACAUGCAAGUCGAACGAAGCCUUCGGGCUUAGUGGCGCACGGGUGCGUAACGCGUGGGAAUCUGCCCUUGGGUUCGGAAUAACAGUUAGAAAUGACUGCUAAUACCGAAUGAUGUCUUCGGACCAAAGAUUUAUCGCCCAAGGAUGAGCCCGCGUCGGAUUAGCUAGUUGGUGAGGUAAAGGCUCACCAAGGCGACGAUCCGUAGCUGGUCUGAGAGGAUGAUCAGCCACACUGGGACUGAGACACGGCCCAGACUCCUACGGGAGGCAGCAGUGGGGAAUAUUGGACAAUGGGCGAAAGCCUGAUCCAGCAAUGCCGCGUGAGUGAUGAAGGCCUUAGGGUUGUAAAAGCUCUUUUACCCGGGAUGAUAAUGACAGUACCGGGAGAAUAAGCCCCGGCUAACUCCGUGCCAGCAGCCGCGGUAAU